rnacentral:lncRNA from 1 species
GGAGACGGUGGCCUGGGCCAGGGCGGCCGCACGGGAUGUUGGGGGACAAGAAAGUCUGCCUCACAUGGGAUCACGCACACGAAAAGCAGGCGGAGUGGUAAUUCCUCAGGGACCGGGCAAACAUCUGUGCUGUGAUGAGCACUUUUCCAACAGAUUCCCCGGGAAGGCGUCCCACUUCCACCCCGGCACCUCCAGGCCUCGGACGACCUGAUGGAGCAGGCUCCAGCCCCUGCUGCCUCAGUUUCCCCGCCUGUGGCUGCUCUCUGGACACGCUGUCCUAACGGAGAAGGCGAGGAAGGACGAAGCAGUUCAUCCACUCGAUCAAUGGUUCGUUCAUCCGUUCGAUCAAUCGCUCGAUCACUCAGCGUUCCUUGCGCUCCUGCCGGGCGGGUGGUGAGCUGAAGCAGGAGCAGACGGCCCUGCCCGCCGAUGCUCACGGUCCAGGGCAGCCUGCAGGCUUCGGUUUCCAUCACUGUUUGAGCAGAAAUGUCCCCGUGAAAGGGUCGGCCACUGAGCAGAGCAGGACCGAGUGUUGGGGCCACUCUACUCAGCCCUCGAUGCCCAAGGACACAUCUCCGUUUUUGUUUAUUUACGUGACCUUUGUGCCCCUGCCUAGUGCCCAGAGGAGUUUGAGGCCUUACGUAAAAGGCAAAGAAAGAUGAAACCCUGAACAGCACGCAGACGAGCCGGCAGACAGAUGCACCUCAUGGACCACAAAUCUGCCUGCCACCGGCCGUCCCUCGCUCCCCUCCCCAUCCCAGAGAGGACGGUGCAGGGAGAGGCGCCGUCGCUGACCGAUUCCCAGACCCCUCCCUGCUGACAGGGGCUGCCUGGCAGGGACCUUUGAUCCCUUCAUGGCGAGCCAGGGUGUCUGCGCUUGAAAGAACGCCUGUGCACAUGGGAGGGCGGGAAAGAGCCAGACAGAGCCAGCAUGCAGAGCCGUGCCCCCGGGAGGGAAAGCAAGGCUCAUGAGCCUUGCUGAAGCACCCGGCCGCAGGAACUCUCCAGACCUUUCUGGAAUGCUCACGAGGCACCCACGAUGGGUGGGGUCCUGGGUGUGAUGCUGAGGACGGUCGGUAAGGCAGGUGUGCGACGCAGUACGGUAACCGCUGUGUUGGGCAGCAGCUACCUUGGGGUGGGGGGUGUCUUGAAGGCUCAGCUGAGUUCAGAGCCAGGUUGCCCUGGGGCCCUGAGACCCAGCCUGCCCAGCACCUGCUCCCUUCCCCUUUGGUGUGAGCACCCCAAUCCCCUCCUCAGACUCGCUCUUCCCUGGCGUGAGCUCUGGGAUGGACCCGAGUUGGGGGAUGAAGAGGCAAGGGGACCAGCUCUGCGACCUCCUGGGAGAGGAAACGUCUGCAGGGCAGGGGCAGCGGGGACAGGAAGGGGCACGGGGAGUGGGACAGAUGUGUGUGCUGAGAACGCAGACAGCUACUCCUCUGAAGUCACUUAAGCGUUACAUUUUCACUGUUUCAAACCCAUCGGUCAGGAGCUGCUGUUGGGUCGUAUUAUUAUUUUUCUCCUUCUAAAGGUCAGCGACUCAUUGCAGCUGAUUAUGUCCCUGAACUGUGUAGACAGGCAGACCCUGCUCACCGACGUCCCCAUAUCACCCAGCUCCGGGAGACACGAAAUCUCCCCAAGACUGUCCGUCACUCACUUGCAGCUGGCACCUGGAAAUGAAAGCGACUCGUCCCGUGUUCCCAAUCAAUGUCCGCCUGCCAUCUCUGUCGAUAACUGCCGGGCGGGCCAGUCCUUUCCCUGAUUGGGAGGCACCGGGGUCAGCCUGAAGAUGCUCUGAGGGAAAAGGCGGCCGCUUGGUUCAGAGCCUCCUGGCUGGGCUGGAAUUAAGUUGGCUCUUUCUCUAAUGAAACUGACUCCAGGGGUCCCUGUGUGCCAGAGUCGAUGGCUCUCCGGAGAAGCAAUGAUGACAGUAAUAUUGAGGCCGUGCACACCUGCAGCCUCACGUUCCUCGGUGCUUUCCAGGGGCUUCGAGCCCCGUAGGAAGCAGUGGCUGCUGGGCGCACAGUAGGGGUGCAGUGAAGGCUGAGGGGACAGCCCCUGGCGCUGCGUUCCCCAUUCUUCUGACGGAGACACCGAGGCAUCGAGAGGCUUAGAAACUCACUCGUGGUUCCCGAGGACCUCAUCAUGGUCCUUGUGUUUGCCUGGGGCAGAGGCUGGCCUCUCGUGGGAAUUGACUGGAAGGGUUAGGGGCUCUCCCUGUGCGCAGAGCUCUAAACCGGAGUCCUGAGUCCAAAUCCCCAGGACAGAGAUUCUGACGGGGCCAGCCAGGGGCAGGCACACAUUCCUGUCCGCUCGGCUGUAACCGAGGGGUACGGGGCCUCACAAAGAGAGACUGUCCACCCACGAGCCUGGACAGGUGAGGGGCCAUCCCCUAAGAACGGGGGUGUCUCUUGGGCCACUGCAGCUCAAUACCCCAAAGCAGACCCUGGAUUUGGGAGUUGCUUCCCUUGUUAGCUCAGAUUUGCUGACGGGCGAGGGUGGGAGUGAGCAGAUGCGGCCGUCAGAAAUUGGGUCGGAAAGCCCACCCGGAAGGGUCAGGGGACCUGUUUUCUCUGAGAAGCUGGGCAGGGAGCCUCGUGGAGCUGGGAAACAACCCUUUUUGGCAGCCGCACGUGGGAGGGUUGUGCUCGGUGGCCCACGGGUGGGUGCCGGUAGCCUUGCUCUGGGCCCCGGAACUCUGUGUCCCUGAUCUCCACUCCCGAGGCUGUGUGUAGCUCACACCUUGGUGACUGCUCAGCCCCUCACUGAGGCCACAGCCCCCACCCCACAUAGGGUCGGUCCAUCAAAAUCACACCCCAGUUUCUCAAGGACCAUUGUCGGCCGGAAGCAUUCUGUGGUCCUCCAUCAUAACAAUCUUCCUCUGGCAAGCAUCCUUCGAUGCCUGCGUCUCCUUUUCCUCAUAGUUACUAUGGCUUGUCUUAUCUUCCUCCUCCCCCAACCCCAAGUCAAAGGGAGGAGAGAAGAUUUAAAUUGAAUACAAGAUUGGAUUUUUAAACUGGACUUCCCUGAUUGUGACCAGAAAUUGAUGGGAUCUGCCCAAGAUGUCAUUAAAGGAUGCUGUGUUCUGAUCUGGCUGCAAAACCAGAAAACCCGUAAAUAACAUUGGCUAAAACAAGAAAGAAAUUGAUUUUUCUUUCUUGAGAAGAAAUGGCUGGAAGUGGGAGUUGAGGGCUGAUGUGGGAGUUCUGCUCCAUGAAGCUCUCAGGGACCUGGGCUCCUUCCAGUUUUCUACUUCACCAUCCUUAGAAGGUGACCCUUGUCCUCGUGGUCCAAGAUGGCUGCUAGAGCUCCAGUCAUCACAACAAUGUUCUAAGAGGUAGGAUGCAGGAAAGGAAGACUCCUUUUUAAGAAAUAUUCCCAGGCAUAUUCCACAACACUCCCUCUUAUGUCUUAUGGGCCAGAAUUUGGUCACAUGACGAAACCUAGCUAUAAGGAACACUGGGGAGCAUAGUCUUUUAACUGAUGGCAGUGGGCAAUGGAAUUCUAUUACUAAGUAGAAGUAAAGACUGGUAUUGGGGGAAAUAGCAGUUUCUGCUUGAGAUAGGAAAGGACACCUGCCAGAGUUCUUGGAAAGCAGUGAUUGGAACAAUACACCUGCUUCAUGUUUAUUCCCGCGGACACUGGGACAGAGGGGUUUAAUCUACGCUGGGAGGUUAUGAGUAGGGUUCCCAGACAAAAUACAGACAGUCACCUAACAAAUAAUUUUUUAGUGUAAGUAUGUUCUGAAUAUUACACAGGCCAUACUCACACUAAAAAAUUAUUUGUUGUUUGAAGUUCAAAUUGAACUGGGCGUCCUGUGUUUUCCUCUGCUCAGUCUGGCAAUCCUAGUUAUGAAGGGGGCUAGGAAGCCCUGGGGAGGGGGGAAGGGGUCCGCGUGGAGGUGUGCCGACGCUGAGGCAGGGGCGUCGCGGUCCUGAGAGGGGCAUCACCUCGUCCGUCCCUCUCGAAAGCUUGGUGGACUUCUCGCUGGCGCUGCUAUGAAUCCUCAUAGUUCCUCCACAGCCAGAAAUCUCGGAGGCAGCGCGCUCAUCAAACCGGGGGGAUCAAUUACACGGGCCUCCUCUUCCCCGGAGUUAUGUGCUAUUCCUGCUCACGAGUGAUCCGCGGAAAUGUCACAGACUCUGCUGAUGAAUUACAUCUGUAGUUACAUUUUCUUAAGAUUUAUCCUCCUCCUGGUUUCUUAGAGGAUUUGUGGAUAUUUCAUAAAAUUCAUCCCAAGGGAAAAUAACAGGACAAUUAAAAAGCAAAAAACAGAACAAAAGCUUCUUAGAAGAGGGAGAGCGGCGGAUUUCAGGUCCAUGUGGAGCGAACUCUGGGCUGAUGAGACGCCGUUGGGCGGUGGGAGGGAGAUGGACGUGAAGCUUGUGCACGCAGAUCUUGAUUUUCUGCAUGGAAUUUAGUUUCUACGAAAGAUAAAUCGGGGCUUUAUGACGCACUUUAAAAAGUGAUCUUUCGGGUUAAAUAUCCCCGUGGGUUUUCACUGCAUGCCGAGUUCUCCUUGCGGGAGGUGGUCCCAAGGUGAUGGGCCUGAGGAGGUCGUGCUUGCUCACCCCUGGGGGGUCACGACAGUCACCUGGGAAGUUUUAAAGCCUUGGGGAGCCCAGGCCACUACCUCAGGGUCCCCGGGGAGAGGCCCAGCUGCCAGGAUGCUGGAAGCCCCCAGGCGAUGCGCCUGGGCAGUCAGGGCUGGGAACCAUGGCAGUGAGGGACGCUCUCUCAUUUUCUGGAUGGAGAAGCAGAGGCUCAGCCACGGGAGUCGUUCGUUCUGGUGGCACUAACAGAGCUGAGAUGAGGACUUUGACCUCUGACCCCUGAUCACUGUGUAUCCACAACAUUUUGUCAUUGCGCAACCUUCCAAGUACAGGUGAGAAACCGGGUCCGCUGACUGACCUCAGCUCGCUGCUGGGAUGAAUACAUUCAGGGCUAAAAUUUGUGGAGCGCUUCCCAAGUGCCAGCUGUCAUGUUAUUGUGUCCAUUGUGUCCAUUUACGUUGAUUAUUAUCACAGUCAAGGCUCACAGCAGCUCGAUGCGGGAGGCACCUAGCCAAUGAGGGAACUGAGGUCUGGAGAGGUGACAUGACUGGCCCCACGCCACAGAGCCAGGAAGUGACGGAGCCAGGAUCCGAAUCCAGCCAGCCUGGCUCCAGACCCCGCACAUUAGCCAUCCCGCCCCGUACAGUGUCUGCUGUCCUUAAAGCGGCACUUCCCAGACUGCCGUGUGCACACCAGCUGCCUGGGCCUCGUGUUCACGAGCAGGUCUGACCCAGUGGGUCUGGGCUGGGGCCGAGACUCUGCGUUGCUGACAAGGUCUCAGUGAUGCUGCUGCGCUGGUCUGGGGACCACACUUUGAACGGCAAGGAUGUAAGGCAUCAUCAUCCUUAUUUUUGGUGGUUGUUUUUUGCUUGCUUGUUUCAGCUUUAAAAAGACAUUUUCGGAAAAUGAGGAAAUACCGAGGCACAAGUAUGGAUUUUAUUAAUGUCCCCACCCAGGCUCUGCAACGAGGGUCACUAUGACUCUGCAAAGGGGACACUAAUCAAUGGCAAUGUGACAUCACUUCAUCUAGGUUUAGAUCCCUCCUGCCCUCUGCUGCAUGGUCCACUUUACCACUGAGCAAACCCAUGAGAUGCUCUCAGCUCAGUUUAUAAAUGUUAAUUUUAGAGUAGAUGCCCAUAUUGGUGAGAAAAAUCAGCCCCUUGGUCUGACAAAUUGGAGUUUUGUUGGAAUUCCCAUACAUGCCGAUGAAACUUGAGUCUUAGUUUGGGGUCCCCCCCAAAGCAGAGCUGAGACAAGCUUUGGGUACAAGUAGUUUAUUUGGAAGGUGAUCCAGGAAGCUGGUGAGGGAGAGGAAAGAGAGACAGGGAAGGGAGGAAAAACCAGUACAUGGGCUAUUAAUGCUGGGGGCAACUGGGGUGCAGUCCUCCUGGGGUCCCCGAGCUACUGUGUGGAUAGCUGCCUGGAGCAGUCGCACGGAGGGGCAGGGAAACUGUGGUGUUCAGGCAGAGCUUGCCCGGGCAACGAGGGGUAGGUGCUUGGGGGGCAUGCUGUGGAGUGUGGGGGGCUGUCUCCUGAAACUGGCUGGCACAGGCAGCACCUGCUACAGCUCGACUGAGCAAGAAGGGCCUGAUGCCCAGCCUGGGUCAUUAGACUCGUUUCCAGGGGAAGCCGACCUGUUCCUAAUCAGGUUAAUUAAAUUAAUUAGGUUAAUUAAAUUAAUCAGCUAAUUAAAUUUCUUUAAUUAGAAAUUAAAAACCAGCAAAGAGACUCUUGGUCAGCCCAAGAAGAAGGGGACCAUUUCUUAGGGGGUGUCACUGAGGGAAAGCUGAGAGACUGGACGUGUAUGUGUUUGGGGGUCAUUAAAUGAUUUGGUUUGGGUGUCAAUUAAGCCCCAAUCGUGGAACAAGACGCGGCAGAUGGGACCUCAGCCCUCCAGGAGUUUUCAGCCAACUCGGUAGGACGCGAGUCUGAUACAGGCCCAAAGGAGUGAAGAUUUCCAUCCACCGUAAUUUUUAGGUGAUUGUUCAACAGCUGGGCUGGGACUGGGGAGAGGCCUGUGGGCGCUGAGGACGCAGAAUUGAAGAAGGCAAAAUUUCAGGGUCAUGCAGGUGUGCCAGGAAAUUACCUGGGCAGCUUUGUGGAAAAUCAAUGGACCCUACAAAUUCUUGACUCUGUUCUGUCCCCUUGGCCUGUUUGUCUAACCCUGUGUCAAUACCACACGGGCUUGAAUGCUGUGCUUUAAGUAAAUUGUGAAUCAGACAGUGCGAGUCCACAAACUUUGUUCUUGUCUAAAGUCCUAAUCAAAACCCCAGGGGCCGGCCGGGUGGUGCAGCGGUUAAGUUCGCAUGUUCUGCUUCAGCGGCCCAGGGUUUGCUGGUUCGGAUCCUGGGUGCAGACAGUGCACCGCUUGGCACACCAUGCUGUGGUAGGCGUCCCAUAUAUAAACUAGAGGAAGAUGGGCACGGAUGUUAGCUCAGGGCCAGUCUUCCUCAGCAAAAAGAGGAGGAUUGGCAGUAGUUAGCUCAGGGCUAAUCUUCCUCAAAAAAACCCCCCCAAAACAAACAAACAAACAAACAAAAUCCCAGCAGGCUCUUUGCAGCAAUGGACAAGCUAGUUCUAACAUUGUGUGGUACACGAGGGACCUGGGAUCGUGCCCUGUGCCCCUUUGUGGGGAUCUGGAGUCCGUUUCUUUCUGCCCCAUGGACUCUGUCUGCAUUUACUGCGGUGUGCGUCUGUUGCUGACGCAUUCUCUAGCAUUUGUACAUCGGAAAAAGCUGCUCUUUCAUCUUUGUUUUUGGAGGAUAUUUUUGCUGGGUAUAGAAUUCUAGGUUUGUUUUGAUUCUUUCCUUCAGGACUUGAAAGGCCAUGCUCUCCUGCCUCCCGGCUUGCCUUCUUUUCAGACGAGACAUCUGCUGUCAGCCUUGUGUGUGUUCCUCUCUAUGAGAUCUGCUUUGCCCCUCUGGCAGCACUUCAAAUUUUUUAUUUAUCACGUAUUUUGUGCCACUUGAUUUUAUUUUGUGGUAGUUCUCUUCAUAUUUCCUGGGCUUGAGCUUCAUUGAGCUUCUUGGCUCUGUGGCUUUAUAGUUUUCAUUAGAUUUGGAAAAUAUUUCAGCCAUUAUUCUUCAAAUAUUUUCUUCUCUUCCCCUCUUCCUUAGGGUACUGCAAUUAUUCACAUAUUAGGCUCCCUGAAGUCGUCCCAGAGCCAACCCAUGAUCUGCUCAUUUUUUUCCCUUUCAUUUUUCUCUGUGUGGUUCAUUUUGGUUACUUUCUAUCAUUAUGACUUCAAGUUCACUAAUUUUUUGUCCUGUGAUGUCUAAUUGGCCAUUAAUCCUUCCCAGUGUGUUCAUAGUUUUGUCUAUAUGCUGUAUAUUAUUGAGUUUCAUACUCUCUUGGGAUGAGUGGAGAGUGGCGCCAACUGUCCUGCAAGAGUGGAUUUUGCGGGCUGUCAACCGAAUAAGGGUGUGCAGAGCCCUCCACUCUGGCUGGGGAGAACUCCCGUGCUACCAGCUCUGCGCCGUAUCGCAAUCUCCCUUCCCCUCCCCGCCUCCAGCUCCCGCUGCUCUGCGCCAGGCGUCACAGAAGCUUGCCGCGUGCAUAUGCAGCUCAGCAUUCAGCCAAAGGCUAGAGGGAUCCCUCUCUAGAUUUCUGGAGCUCCUUCUGUGUGCAGCAGUCUCCUCUGAAGCUCUCCGUCUUGCAAAUUCCAGCUGCACUGGGAGCCCCGGACACUCGUUUCUGCCUCUCUGUCCAUGGAGACCACUGCUCUGCUGGGGCUCCACUUCCCUGUACCAGAGUUUGUAAAGACCGCCCCCCUGCCCUCUGUCAGGAAGCCUGGGUGAACGUGGGACCCGCCUGUGGGACCCCGUCUCUCGAGGGUCGUGGGGCUGCACUGUCUGCUGUCCAAUGCCUGAAAAAAGCUGCUCCGUACAAACGUCUACAGGGGUUCAUGGUGGGAAGGGGGGGGCCUAGGGCCCUCACACCACGAGGGCCGGGUCUGGGGGUUUAGUUUCUGCUUUUCUGCCGACUCGGUCACAGCCAUGAGUCUGCAGCCGCAGGAGGUGCUGACGCCUGAGCUCACUGUGCCAUCCCGCCUGGAGGACCACGCAGUCUCACGAGGAGUCUCACGGCAGCUUCUCAGAGACGCUGGUCAGAGGACACUUGACUACACAAGAGGCACUCCUGUUGGCUUUCCCUGGGGCCCUGGACCAAGUCCUCUCCCAUCGUUUCCGAGGGCCUCCAUCACUCGGGCCACUCCGGGUCCCAACAGGGGGUGAGGCCACCAUCAUCGGUGUCCCCACGCCCACGUUUCACCCACCCUGCCUCUGGGGAAGGGACGCAAAGAGACAGGAUCUAAGUCAGGAAACACACAUCCCCAUGACAGAGGGAACCAGUUUCCUCCCAGAAUCGCCACCUUGGCAGCACACUGUGCAAGCCUGAGACCAGCUGGGCCCAGGGCUGGCUGGAAGAUGACCGGGAGCCAGAAAGAGGGUGGCUCCUCCCUGCAGUGCCGAGUCCCUGGGGCAGUGGGACCCUCGCGUGUUCGCUCAGGCCCAGAGCAGAGCCUGGCUGUGUCCACAGGCUGCAGGCGCCGUCCCAGGCCUCCCAGGGGGAAUCUUGGAUCUCUGGGCAUUUCAUGGAAACUAGCUUGGUCAACAUAAGUGAUUUUUCAAACUACUGCUACUGAUAAUUUCCACCAUUUUAUUGGGUGGCUGCUACUUGUGGACCACCUGCUAAUUGUUUUACAUGCGUGAGGCAGGCACUCUCCUUGUCUGCUUUCUCCAGGUGAGGAAAUUGAGGAUCAGAGAGGUAAAUUAACCUGGCCAGGAUCACACAGCUGGUGAGUGGCAGCAGAGAAGGGAUUUGUACUCUUAGCCAUGACACUAGGUUGCCUUCUGUGUUCACUGUUUAAGCUUGAAAAGGUUUUUAGGUCUAAACAUGUAGUUGGGGGAAAGGAAAAACAAGAGAAUUAGCAUUAAAUUAACACCUUUAGUAAUACUAACAGCAGCACAUCUCAUUGACCCCUUGAGGCUCUUCUCUUCUCCUUCGCAUUUUAUCAUCUCUGAAACGUGGAUUCAUCUUGCAGUGCUCGUGUGUCUAGUUCAUGUCGGUCUGAGGGUCUGCUGGUUCACCCAUGAAUUUGGGCUGCUUUCCAGGCUCUGUGAGCUCAAGAAACAGCAGAUCACUAAGUCCAGGCCCUGACCUGGGGGCUGCUCGGGCCUUUUGGAAAGCAGGCCCCGAAAGACGACAUUCUCCUCUGGCCGUGGCAGACUUCCGUGCAUGGAAGUGUUUCCCGGAGCGCAAGGAACAAAGUCCCUGUGUCAGAGGGAGCAGGUCACCGCGCGACUCACUGGGACUCUCAGGCGCUGGGGAGGGGCUGCCGGCCGGCCCUGCUGGGCUCUGGCAGCUCACUGCUGGGUCCAAGCUGCUGCUUUGCCACUUACUAGCUGUGCGACUCGGGCAAGUGACUUCCGCUCCCGUGCCUCGGUUUCCUCCUCGGUAAGGUAACUCCUGUGGAAUAUCGCCUGGCACGUGGUGCGUGCUCCGUAAACCCAGUUGUCCUGAGGAUUCAUCGGGAGGACGUUCCCAGGAGAGCUCUUACCAGCCCAGAGCUGCAUCUGCUUAUCUCAAAGAGCAUUACGUCUUGAAGGAACACAGAGCCCUUCCAUGUGAGCUGCUGGUCCUUGGAAUUCUGGUCCUGCAAGGACAGUUGGUUUUGGUACAUUUAUUGAGCACCUGCUGCAUGCUGUCUCUGGGCUGGUGGCACACGGCCGAUGAGGCGCAGUCCCUGCUUUCACAGACUUCACCGUCCAUGAGGAGAUGGAACAUAACCCAGGAAGCAAAGGCGUGACCAGAAAUUGUGAUACCGCCAUGGAGGAAAUGGGUUUGGGGGAGAAUGUGCAAAGGGUCCCAGAGGUGGUGACAUCUGAGCUAAACCUGAAAGAGCAGAAGAAGCCAAUCAUGGGGCAGGAAGGGAUUCCGGGCAGAGAAGCCUUGACCAAAUGCCCAGGGGCAGGAAGCGGCACUGAACCAAGGCCGAUGUGUGGCGUUCGGUGCGGACAGAGGAGAACAGUGAGAGACGGUGUGGGGCCGCGGCUUUGGAGCGCAAGCCUAGGAACAAAGGGAGACCAUGGAACGAGUUUAAGCAGGAGAGUCAAGCAAUACAGAGGAUUUUCUGAGAAGAUCAACUGCUGUGUGGAGGAUGGAGGGGAAAGAAGGACAGUGGGAAUGGGGGGCCGGCCAGGCAGCGGGUGUGCUCGUUCAGAAGAGGCGAUGCUGGCCUUGCCCAGGGGCCAGGGAGAAGUGAGGGCCUUUGGGUAGGUUUGGUGGUGGAGGAGAUGGGUUUGUGGCGUCAGCAGGAGGAGCCUUGAUUCUAUCCUCGGAUUUGUCACUGGCCAGGUGGAUGGACCUGGGGAUUUCUCAUUCUUUGUUUUCUUUUUUCAAUUUUAAAAAUUGUGGUAAAAUUCACAUAACAUAAAAUUUACCAUCUGAACCA